UCAGCCGCCGCGGUAAUACAGAGGGUGCAAGCGUUGCUCGGAUUUACUGGGCGUAAAGCGUACGCAGACGGCUUGGUAGGUCGAAUGUGAAAGCCCCGGGCUCAACCCGGGAAAUGCAUUCGAAACCACCUCGCUCGAGUAUGGGAGAGGGAAGCGGAAUUCCUGGUGUAGAGGUGAAAUUCGUAGAUAUCAGGAGGAACACCGGCGGCGAAGGCGGCUUCCUGGCCCAUUACUGACGUUCAGGUACGAAAGCGUGGGUAGCAAACAGGAUUAGAUACCCUGGUAGUCCACGCCGUAAACGAUGUGUGCUGGAUGUCGGGGGUAUUCACCCCCUCGGUAUCGAAGCCAACGCGAUAAGCACACCGCCUGGGGAGUACGGCCGCAAGGUUGAAACUCAAAGGAAUUGACGGGGGCCCGCACAAGA
rnacentral:rRNA from 1 species